UUUUUUUUUUUUUUUUUUUGCUUUUUAGGGCCAAACCUAAAAAAGUUCCCAGGCAAGCGUGAUCACGUCAUAGCUGGUCUAUGAUUAGCCACCCCUGAAACACAGGUCUGGGCUCUUGAGUAGAGAGUCAUUGGGCCAGGGUCCACGGCAUGGCAACAACAGACGCAGGCUUUUCCUGCACUCUGGCAGCUCUGUAUUUACCCUUUUCCACAUGUCUGAGCUAAUGACUCUGCCGAUGUGGAGCAGAGGAUUACACUAAGCCACUCUUUGUAAUGCUCGCUUGACUGAGGAUGAACUCAGGAUGAAAUGAUGUUUGUAAUGUUCUUUCAGGAAUUUCAAGCCAUUGAAUUUUUCCAAUAUUUAUAUUGAGCAACUCACAUGUAUCUGUCAGUCUCUGUCUCUCUACUCCUAUCUAUCUCUAAAACCCUGCUUUUUUGUUCCCAACUAUUUUCAAAGCGCUUACAGCUAUAACCCAUAACCAGAUAGGAUAUAACAUCACUCAGAGGCAUGGAACAAGAUUUCAAACGAGGGUACUGGUAUUAUUUACCACUUCCCCUGGGUUUAUAUUCAGGCCUUUAAGCAUUAGCUGCAGACAGGAUUUAAAUGCCCCUUGCAUGUCGUUCCCUUUUCUCUUUUCAGUUUCAACUCUGCUUCACUCCUUCAGAGAUCCCAAGUUAACUUUGAGGCUAUCGUUCACCAUUGAGGAUGUCUGGAUUCAUCCCAGCUCCAUGCUGGGAUGGCCAUCGCUGAUAUUUAAUGAGAAGUAUUUCAACAUUCUACCUUGCUAAAAAUCAUUCCAUACAGAAAAUUUAAAUAGCCACUCUUCUAAAAAUCCUCUCUCCAUCGGGAACCAGAAUGGGCAGAAGCAAGGUGGGGAAAAACCUGCUCACUUCCACCUGUCCACAGGGAGAGAAACAAGUCGUAACCCCCCAUCUUGAGGAGCUCCUCUUCUAGCAAGGUCAGAGGCAUUCACAACUAACUCCAAUGAUAAGAGUUAGAAUGGGAUGAGGCCGAAGAAUAGAAAUAAGGAACACAGAACAACUCCAUAACACAAGAAACUGGGUGUCUUGCCCUUGACUGAAUGGCCUGGAGAAGGCGAAGACUAAGCUAAGGACAGCAGUGAAAGCACAGAUGCUAUAACCACUAUGGCACUCUCAAGUCAGCACCCCUUUGAAAACCUAAACUAUCAUAAUUACAGUAGUUUCAAGUUUAGAAUUCAAAGAUUAAUGUUCAGUCUAUCGGAAGACACUAGAAGAUAUUUUCUUAAGAAAGUCAUGAAGACAUUUUCAGUUUGUCAUUAUUUCUCAUCUUCCAGCUCAGGCCCCAGUGCACAGCCUGAAUCUCAGUAUUUCCAGAGCCCUGCGCACACAAGAGAGAGUGAUGGGUGAUUUACAACUACGAAAACAAGCCACUUGGGACACUCUUGAGAAAGCGGCCAUCCUGGGCAUUGUUAAUGCUAACCCUGUGGCCAAAAAGUCCUAGGACACCGAUGUAGCCAUCACUAGGGCUUCCAGCUCAAAACCCGCAGCGGAAUAUCUUCAUAAUGAUCAGGGCUCAUGGGAGCCCUUGAUUUCUUAUAUAUACGGGACAGUGCCUGGAGGCCUAGACUGAUAAACCAGGCUCUCUUUCCUGAGCAUACAGAAUAGGGUUCUAACAGCUGACAGGUCCAGUUGUUGUUAAUGCCAAUAAAAGGACACAUCCCACGUCCCUUACAAUUAAGCUAGCAGGUCCCUCGUUAACACUACCUUGAGGAAAAAUGAAGACAGGAACCAAAAUAAAAUUUAAAAUAUAUCCAAAAGUAGAGCAAACAGACAUCUGCAAAUAGUCCUUGGCUCAAAUGUUUUUAUUUGUUUGUUUUUUGUAACUGAAGUAUGAACAAAUGGACAAGCCUGCUUGCAAAAAAAUCAAGGGUGAACUCAACAUUUUGCCCCAGAUAAUGAAAAGGGCAAGCAACAGGAGCCAUUAUUAAACACUGCUAGUCAGACAAGCUCAUAGAAAUUCUAGCGAAAAUGGCAGAAAAUACCAUUUUUUCAGGUUCAAGCUGUAAUUGCCAACAUGUAAACAAUGUGUCUGAGAUAAUGGGUUUGGAAGGACAGAGCAACUAGAGAGGUAUACAUGUAACCACGGAUCUAGUCCUUGAGACCACUUCGUACAUUCACUCUACUCAUUCAGUAUUUCACUCUGCUUCUUCCAACCUCCUAAAAAGGUGUACACACGUGUACGCAUUUGAAUGUGUGUGUGAAGAUGACAGUAUGAAGUAAGAAAUGGAAAGUAACAAUAUGGAAAAUGAAACAGCCAAGAAAAUCAGACCUUUGAUCUAUUAAGACAGGUUAUGUCUUAAAAUGAUUCCAAGAUACCCUUGCACUACAAUCAGCUUUUUCUUGCCCUGCCUCAAGCCCUUUCAUCAGGUCCUCCUUUUGUUUACACAGUUUCCAUAUGUGCCAGGACACAGAAUUAAAUGGGCUUAGGCCAAGCCCUUCGCAUGGGAAGGAUGUACACAGAGCCCGUGACUUAACAGUACCAUUCAACUUAUAGCUUUUUUUACUUUACAAUCUUGCAAAACUGACACAUUCAGUAGAAAUGGGGCUUCAAAUUUUGAAUUUUGAUGGUUUUCUGAGUCAGUAAUAUGCUGCAUAAUGCUCACUCAUGAUGCUGGACCAAGGCAGCUCCCAGUCAGCCAAGUGAUAAGGAGGGUAAACCACCAGGAACACUCAAUCAUUCUGUACCUAGACAGCCACUCUGUUUUUCACCUUCAGGAAAACACUCAGUAAAUGACAUUAGAUAUUCAACAUUGUAUUAUAAAAUGGGGUUUUAUUUAGAUGUUUUCGCCCAACUGUAGAAUAACUUAGGUGUUCCACGCAUAUUUAAGGUAGGCAAAGCUAAGCUAAGCUGUUUGGUAGAUUAGGUGUAUUAAACACAUUUUCAACUUCUAUUUUCAACUUAGGAUGGGUUUAUCAGGAAGAAUCCCCAUCCUAAUUCAAGGAAGACCUGUACAGUAUUAUCCUUACCUUCAAACAACUUCAAGGAAACCAACAAGAGAAAUUAGAAUGCCCUUAGCCAUUAUACUCUUUUUUGCAGCAAAAAUGUGCUAAUACUGAAUCUGUCUUUUCUUCUCCCCCCAUUUUAUGUUGGUCCUCUGGUUUCCUGUGCUGGACCAAUUCUCUUCCUCUCUUAUUGGCCAGUUUAGCUUUGUAUGUCUCAUGGAUGGUGUGAUCUUGAUGCUCUUACUUCCCAGAAACAUCAACAUUACAUUCCUAGAGAUGGCAGGUACACACCACUUGGAAUGUGGAUCCAACACUGUUUUAGCCACAGAAAGGUAAAAAUUAGGGAAGAAAUCUUGACAAUGAUUCAGCAGUGCCACAUUGUUUCACAUGAGUUAUUAAAAAGCACCAUCAAAAACUGAUGGCAAGAAUAGGACUAAAAACAAACACAAUUGACUUCUCAUCCAGGAAUCUUACUGUUACUUCAUUCCUUCUGUCCUCCAUCCAUCCAUGCAUUCUAAGAGUAUUUAAGUGAUUACACUAUACAUCUAAUAACAAGCACUGUAAAAAGGCCGUGUGUAGAAGGUCAGUAAGGGAAGGAUCCUUGUCCUCAAGAAGCUCAGGCCUCAAUUAAGUAAAUCUUUGGUUCUCACCAUAGCUAGAGUGUAAUAUAAAUUCCACAAAAAGGAUGCAGAGAUCAAAAAUGUUUAUAAUAAAAAAUUAAGGAGAAACAAACACUGAUCAUUGACUAUAAGGGUAUUUACUAUCCAUUAUAGGCAAAAUAAAGCCAUCAGAAUAACUGAAGUUUAAGAGAGUCUAGAUGAGACAUGAGGCUCAAUAUUUUUUUUCAACAGUACUUACUUGGAGUGGUGUGGCUUUUAUUUUACAGGCACAGCUUUUUUCCUGUGCCUGCCCAAUCAAGGUUACAGGUUUGGCAUCUGCAGUAGGAGAAUAAUGACCCCAAAGACGCCCCCAUCCUAAUUCCCAGAACAUGUGAAUAUGUUAUGUUACAAAGCAAAGGAGAAUUAAGAUUUCAAAUAUUGACUGCUAUUUCAAAUAAAAUUAACAUUGCUAACCUUAAAACAACAUUAUCCUGGAUUAUCUGGGUGGGCCAAGGGUAAACAAAAGGGCCUUCAAAUGUGGAUGAGGCAGGUGCAAGAGCCUGUGUCAGAGUGAAGCAACAGGAGGCUCAACCCAUCAGUGGUGGCUUUGAAGAUGGAACAGAGCCAGGAGCCAAGGAACAGAAGCUGGAAAAGAUAAGGAAAUAGAUUCUCUCCAACAGCCUCCAGGAGGAAGGCAGCCCCACUGAAAGCCUUGCCAUUAACCAAGUGAGACUGAUUUUUGCUGUCUUUCAGAACUGUGACAUAAUAAAUUUACAUCAUCCUGAGCCAUCAAGCUUGUAGCACUCUGUUACAGCAGCAAUGAGAAAUGCACACGGUGUCCAGUGAUCUCUACAAGGUUCAAGUGGCAAUCACCCCCAAACAAACUCAUUCAUUCUUUCUCAUUCCCAUUAAUAUUGAUCCUCUUUCUCUCUCUCCACUUCCUUCCCUCCAAACUACCCAGCCCUGCUUUUAUUUGCCUUCCUCAUCCCUUUUCUCAUUUUAGGCUUUUUUUUUUUAAUGUUUCAUUUUACAGUUGCACCUGUGUCAUAUGGAAAUUACCAUGGUAGGGGUGGAAUCAGAGCUACAGCUGCCAGCCUACACCACAGCUACAGCAAUGCUAGAUCUGAGCUCCAUCAGUGACUUCACCACAGCUUGCACCAACAACGGAUCCUUAAGCCACUGAGCAAGGCCAGGAAUCGAACCCCCAUCCUCAUGGAUAUUAGUCAGGAUCUUAACCCACUGAGCCACAAUGGGAACACCUUUAGGCCUCCUUCUUUCUGUUCUAUAUUAAUUCUAUUUAUAUUCCAUUAAAAAAUCCAUUAAGUCUGCCUUGGUUUCUCUUUUGUUUCUUUAACUUUCACCCAUUCUCUUAAUAAGUGCCCGCCCCAAAACACGUGCGCGCACACACACACACAAAUAUAAAGUAGUGUUUAGGAGGAAAAGGGCAAGAAGUUGUAAAUACCACUAUAUAUUUAUGUACUUACUCUCUCAUCACAGUAAGUCUUCCGAAUAACUUAAUUUAAAAUAUGGAAACCAUCAUGCCUACUUCACCAGCAUCCUACAGGUUACCAUUAAUUUAUAAUUAUUCCUAACAAUGUAGAAAACAUUCCAAUAUAAAAAAAAAUGUAAGAAUGAAAACAAUUUCAGUUCAGGUGCAAAACCUAGAAAUCAACCGUCUCAGUCCUUAUCAGAAGUCAUUCUAUUCACCACGUAAGUUGUCUAUUGAAGAAAAAGAAAGGAAAUACAAGACUCAUCCCAGUUUUCCAAGUAAUGCAGUCUAAAUGUACUUGAAUUAGCUAUUCACUUGAAUUUAUCAAGAUGCAGUUUUCAUUUCAGAUGAAAACCAGUCUGGUUUCAAACAUGGCUCUGUGCACCGAGGAAAGAGACGCCUCCGAGUAUGUGGAAGCCCAUCUGAAUAAGCUUUCAGUAUAAUCCAAUAGCAGCUGGGAAAUAAAAUGCUUCUGGUGCAGAUGGGCAAGUGUUCUACAGAAAACAUUUUUAUCCUUUUUUAAUAAAAGCGGUUUUUUGUUCUCACUUUUAAUACAAACAUCAACAUAAAGAAAAUUUCAAAGAAUUCACUGCAAAGUACACUCUUAGAAAAACCCAUCAAGUUUUAAAAAUUUUAAAUCUCCUCAUGUCUCUGUGUGUGUAUGUUUUCUACAGAAGACAAAUAAACAUACCCAGUAGCAAUAGGUUAGGUUAUAAAAGUUUAGCAGUCAUUUGAGACUCACAAUAGCGUUCUCCAUGACUUAAUUUUUUUAAGCUGGCAAACUAAAAGUAUAUUUAACCCACAAUACACUACGAGAGUAAAUUUUAUCCAAGGAAAUAAAGAAGAAUGUUGUUACCAUUCUGGGAAUAAUAAAAUUAAUAAAUACUCUGCUUUAUGAUAGAUCUAUGAUUUUUAAAAUGUGGACAAUACUUGAUGCCUCAUAUCUCUAAACAUGUGAGGAACAUUUAUCAGUAUUCCAUAUUUGGCUUUAUUUUUUUAAUUUUUUUUCUUUUUACAGCCACACCUGCCACACAUAAAAGUUCUCAAGCCAGGG
rnacentral:lncRNA from 1 species